GGGGAUUGCCUCAGUAACGGCGAGUGAAGCGGCAAGAGCUCAACUUUGGAAUCGCUCCGGCGAGUUGUAGUCUGGAGGUGGCCACCACGAGGUGUUCUAGCAGCAGGCAAGUCCUUUGGAACAAGGCGCCAGCGAGGGUGACAGCCCCGUACCUGCUUUUGCUAGUGCUUCCUGUGGCCCACCGACGAGUCGAGUUGUUUGGGAAUGCAGCUCUAAGUGGGUGGUAAAUUCCAUCUAAGGCUAAAUAUUGGCGAGAGACCGAUAGCGAACAAGUACAGUGAUGGAAAGAUGAAAAGCACUUUGAAAAGAGAGUGAAACAGUACGUGAAAUUGUUGAAAGGGAAGGGCUUGCACCCAGACACGGUUUCGGCCGGGCCAGCAUCAAGUAGAACGGGGUUAAAAGACCUGGGGAAUGUAGCUACCUCUUGGUAGUGUUAUAGCCCUUGGGUGAUGACCCCUGUUUUGCUUGAGGACAGCGGUCUCUAGGAUGCUGGCGCAAUGGUUGCAAGCCACCCGUCUUGAAACACGGACCAAGGAGUCUAACGUCUAUGCGAGUGUACGGGUGAAAAACCCCUGCGCGGAAUGAAAGUAAGAGGUUGGAACCCUCUCGGGGGUGCACAAUCGACCGACCCA
rnacentral:rRNA from 1 species